rnacentral:lncRNA from 1 species
CCCACUCACCGGUGCUCAUCUCGCCCAGCCAGCAAGAGAGCGCGCCAAAGCGCACCGUGUGGAAGAGCACCGACUUCCCCGGCCGCCCGGGGCUCACGCCGAUGCACACAGCGGGCAGCUCAGAGCCUGGCCCGGUGGAUGCAGUUCAAGCCCCUCCUCUGGCCUGGCCCCGCCCACUCUCUGCACACCCGUGAAGCUCUCUCUCACCCACACAGCACGCCCGGCAGCCUUUGGUGUCCUGGAUCUUGGUGGAAACCAUGUUCUUCCUGGAGAAUAGGAUCUCCUUGACCCUCCAGAAUGCCCACCCUUGGUGGAGGGAUGUGUCCAGGCGGCCGUGCUGUGGAUCCGGAGGGGGCAGCCAUUGAACAACUUUACGAGAAGGGCACAUCCCUGGGCAGGUCGCCGCGGGGCCAGGCAGCAGAUCCGGCAAAGAGAGCAGGGAACAGGAAGGGGCAGUGGUUACGACUUUGGAGCGAGAGUGCCAAGGUUCAAAUCCUGCCUCUUACCUUGGUGCAAUUUCCCAUAAUCUAUCCCUGUAAUACACUUUUUCAUACAUUGA